AGUGAACGCUGGCGGCAGGCCUAAUACAUGCAAGUCGAACGGCCGCACAGUGAGAUUUCUCCCCUACCGGUGGCGACUGACGGAUGAGUGACAAAUACAUAGCCAUCUACUAUUUCGUGGGGGACAACGUAAGGCAACAUACGCUACUACAGCAUACGACCUACGGGUGAAAGCAGUAGAUCUACGCACCUUGCGUGACACAUAGAGACGAAGUCGCAUUAGCUAGUUGACUAGGUAAAGGCCCACCAAGGCGACGAUACGUAGCUGGUCUGAGAGGAUGAUCGGCCACACUGGAACUGAGACACGGUCCAGACUCCUACGGGAGGCAGCAGUGGGGAAUAUUGCACAAUGGGCGAAAGCCUGACGGAGCCAUGCCGCGUGAGUGAUGAAGGUCUUCGGAUCGUAAAGCCCUGUUAUUAGGGAAGAAAAGCUGCGUAUGUAUCCAUCGCCGUUCUGACGGUACCCAAUGAGAAAGCACCGGCUAACUUCGUG
rnacentral:rRNA from 1 species